GAAAUACUUGUAACCUUCUUAAGUCUACAAAAUAAGUUAUAUUUCUUUCCCACUUAAGUUCUACAAAAUAAGUUGUUUUUCUCCUGUUUAACAGUAAUCUUAAAUUACAGACACAGACUGAAAUAUAUAAGAUAAUAAGAAAUGUUGGCUAUGUUAGGCUCCAGCACUCUUGCUUGAAUGAGUGAAUGCACACACACACACACACACACACACACACACACACACACACACACACAGAAACACAGAAUGUGACAGACAGCUUUCUUGGGCCAUCAGCACACGUUGCAUAUCCGGGGUCUUCUCCAGGCACAUUGGGGGUCGAUCCCGAUAAAAAGAUCUAGCAGAGGCCCCUGAGCGCUCACACAUGAAAGGCAGGGGACUUUAAGAUGGAUUUGCAUGCACACCGGGGAUUUCGAUCAAUAGCUACCAACAUUUAUGGCUUAGAUUAUUAAUGUGAAAGCUGGCCAAAAGAAUGGGGAUGAAAAAUUAAAGGUGUCUGUUAUCAAUUAUGCUUAAAGUUAUGCAAUAAUUUACUUACUUUGCCUGAUGUGCAGAUCCAGAUGUAUAAAGUACUAUUCUUCAAAAGCCAGGGGGUUUCUUUGAUAAAUUUGUUGACCAUGUCAGCUGACUCUACAAUCAAAGAUGAACCCAAUUCAGAUAAUGGACUGUAUUCAAAUUCUUUUUUAAGAAAAGAUAUAUCAACUUCUAUGUUUCUCAAAUGCAAGUACAUAUGUAGAUAGAUAUGUCCAAAUUAACAUUUAUAUAUAUAUCCUUCUCUGUGGGUC
rnacentral:lncRNA from 1 species